GUCAGAGACAAAGGAUCCCCUGAGAGUCCAACCACACCUUAAAAAAUGUUUUGAAGGAAUCGCAAAGCUGACAUUUAACACAAAUAAUGAAAUUACGCACAUGGAGUCACCGGAACGUGAAAAGGUUGAACUUGUGCAGAAAAUAAUUCCAGCCAAUGCCAAGGGGCUAGUUGAGAAAUGGCUUCACGAGG